rnacentral:rRNA from 1 species
GGCGAAGGCAGGUCUCUGGGCUGUAACUGACGCUGAGGAGCGAAAGCAUGGGGAGCGAACAGGGAUUUAGAUACCCUGGUAGUCCAUGCCGUAAACGUUGGGCACUAGGUGUGGGGACCAUUCCACGGUUUCCGCGCCGCAGCUAACGCAUUAAGUGCCCCGCCUGGGGAGUACGGCCGCAAGGCUAAAACUCAAAGGAAUUGACGGGGGCCCGCACAAGCGGCGGAGCAUGCGGAUUAAUUCGAUGCAACGCGAAGAACCUUACCAAGGCUUGACAUGUUCUCGAUCGCCGUAGAGAUACGGUUUCCCCUUUGGGGCGGGUUCACAGGUGGUGCAUGGUUGUCGUCAGCUCGUGUCGUGAGAUGUUGGGUUAAGUCCCGCAACGAGCGCAACCCUCGUUCCAUGUUGCCAGCACGUAAUGGUGGGGACUCAUGGGAGACUGCCGGGGUCAACUCGGAGGAAGGUGAGGACGACGUCAAAUCAUCAUGCCCCUUAUGUCUUGGGCUUCACGCAUGCUACAAUGGCCGGUACAAUGGGUUGCGAUACUGUGAGGUGGAGCUAAUCCCAAAAAGCCGGUCUCAGUUCGGAUUGGGGUCUGCAACUCGACCCCAUGAAGUCGGAGUCGCU